CUGCAUAUAAGGAAAUAAAUUACUACCAAUAGUACGUUCAAGUCAUGACCUUUUGGGUGAGCAUGUGAUGGGCUAAGACCCAAGAAGAUAUUAUUGGGUCAGUGAUUUGAGGCCUUAUUUUGAUGGAUUUGAUUCGAUUCGAACUUGGAAUUUGACCCGAGAUUUGUUCUAAACCCGGGUUGUUUCAUAUGGUAUCAGAGCCGACUCUCGAAAGCUCGGGUCAGGUCAUCCAAUCGGGUUGCCGAAGGCGGGGACACGAAGGCUGGUGGUAUUAUCCCACAAUGGAGAGAUGGAGGUCCGGAGGUGGGGACACGAAGUCAGCCGGUAUUAUCCCACAAUGGAGAGAUGGAGGUCCGGAGGUGGGGACACGAAGUCAGCCGGUAUUAUCCCACAAUGGCUAGAGAGGCAAAGAUCUGUGGACCGUGAACCACGUGCGUGAUCGGUUCUGACGGGGACGUCAAAAAUUUAAGUGGGGGAGUUUGUAAUACCCCAGUCUGACAUCGAAAGAUAAGGAAAAAAUUUGUCUGCAUAUUAGGAAACAAGUUACUACCAAUAGUACCUUCAAGUCGUGACCUUUUGGGUGAGUCUGUG
rnacentral:lncRNA from 1 species